rnacentral:tRNA from 1 species
UCAGCUUUGGCACAGUGGGUAGCGCAUCAGUCUCACAAGCUGAAGGUCCCGAGUUCGAUCUUCGGAAGGAGGG